GCCUGCUUAGCUCAGUUGGUUAGAGCGCCUGUUUCAUAAGCCGGUUGUCACUAGUUCAAAUCUAGUAGCAGGCA
rnacentral:tRNA from 1 species